UGGAAGUAGAAAUCCGCUAAGAAACGUGUUACAACGUACCUACCGAAUGUAUUAUUGUAUAAAAUGGAAGAAGAUUACUACUUUUAUGAGAUGUUUCUGUAUAUAUUUAGGUAGCUGUGCAAUUUGUUUGUAUUGAAGUAUAUAUGUGAGUAUGUAUUGAAGAAACAAAUGAGCCGAUCUUGGAGGCAGUAACAAUAUAUUUGUAUAGAUAUAGACUAGGGUUUUCAAUGACUAUUGAAGUGAAUCGGUGUUAGCAUAAAAACAAAGAAGAUUAAUAGUUCUUCAUUUAAUUACUCUAAGGCGACUUGAUAAUGACGGUAUAUCAUGUUAUCUAAGAAAAAUGAAUUAGAUGAUGACGUAACUAUGGAUUGUCAUGAUAAGAAAUAGUUAUCUGUAUAUACUUGAUAAAAAAGAAGUAAUUUAACCGU
rnacentral:rRNA from 1 species